CAUCUUGAAUUAGCAACAGGAUCGACGCUUCUCAUUGGCUGGACGGGUUAAAGCGGCACGUGACCUUGGCCGGGGGGCCCGCACCACGGAGCAAACCGGCGGCUGAUUGGUCCGGUCUCCGUCACUUCCGCAAUUGCCAUGUCUCGCGAGAUCUGAGCAGAGGAUGCCCAUGGGAAGGGAUAGGGGAUGCGACAAAGGUGUAAACAAAAAUCAUGUAGAGUACAAAUGAGACAGAGAGGAUGACACUUUUUUCCCCCAAUAGUACAAGGGGCAUAGGUUUAAGGUCGGAGGGAGAAAUUUUUUCACCCAGGAGUAGUGAGAAUCUGGAAAACAGUCUGAAAAUUUCAAGUAGUGGUAAGACAUGCACUUGUGUUGCCAUUAGGCUCCAGGGCUGUUGGCCAACAGCUGGAAAAUGGGAUUAGUGCAGUCAGAUCUUCCAGUGUUUGAGCUUCUAUAUCUGGCAAGAUAGUGGAACCCCCUCCAUUACCUCUGAAACUAAAACCUAGCUUUAAAAUUACUAAAGUGUUUUGACUGUAGCUGACUGGCCAUGCAAUCGCCAUUGUUCUCUCUUGUACUAAAACAGCCAGUUUAAAUGCCUUCCCAUAAUUAGGUGCUGCCAAAACCUGUGUGAUGAUCAGUACAGCUUUCUCUUUCCUUUCAAAUUUCUUGCCUUUAAUAAAUUAAUCAAGGGAAGCAAAACAGUGCUCAAAUUCAGAACAGACUUCCAUUAAAAUUUAGUCAUGUCAAUAUAAUUGAAUUCCGCAUUUCGUCUUGGGCAGGGAAAAGGCCAAGAUGGCCCUUACCUUUGGCUUCUCUAGGUCUUGGACUUGUUCUCACAGUGUGCCCAAAUAAGUCAUUUUUACCUUGGCAAAUUUACAUUUAGCCAGAUCUGUGACCAAAUGGGCUCUUUGCACAGUUACAAAAUAUUGUGAAUAUUCUUUCCAGGUUUGGAUGAACACAACAUCAUGGGGAUAUAUACAACACAGCUGCAUUAUCCUUCAAUUACCAUGUUAGUUAAUUGUUCAAAAAUCACUGGUGCAUUUUUCAUACCAAAUAGUCAAUCUUACAUUGAUAAAGUCCACUUGGAUCAUUAAUACUAAAGUUUAUUUGGCUGUGUACUCAAUGGAACUUGCCAACGUGCUUUUAACAGAGUCGUUUGUGUGUGGAAUGAAAUCCCAGAGGAAGUGGUGGAUGCGUGUACAGCUAAAAUGUUUAAAAGACAUUUAGGUCGCCAUGCCUGAAUUGAGUUCCUGUUCAACAACAUAGUAAUGCAAACAGUUUCCCACAGACCUGAAAACUCUCUUGAUCUGAACAGCAGCUUCUGAAAAAGAGUUAUUCACUCCUACUCAACUCAGCAAACUCACCAUGAUGACAGUGGUAAUUGUUUCUGAAAGACUGGGAUCAGCUCCUGAAAUGGGGGACGUCGAGCUGGAUCAGAUUCCCAACACUUGUUCAUCAGCUGGUAAACCUGGGCAAAGGAGACAAAGAGAGAGAGAGGGGAAAGAGCUCGAUUUUCUCCCCUGAAUUCCAGGGCUCCCUCAACACCUCAUACUUUCAGCACUUAGACCAUCAGAACGUGCCUCCAGCAAUCCACAGAAUCGUGACCAGCUUCAGACCAAACUACAAAGAGGUCAAACAGGCAAGUUCAAAAGAAUAUCUUCAAGGAAGCAGCAGUGAGGAAAGGAAUUCCACAAUUUAAGGCCCCAGCGGCAAACAGCACAGCCACCAACAGGGAAGGGAUUACAAACUGGGAUUGCACAAGAGGCCAGAUACAGAUGGCGCCAUC